rnacentral:rRNA from 1 species
AUUGAACGCUGGCGGCAGGCCUAACACAUGCAAGUCGAACGAGUGGCGGACGGGUGAGUAAUGUCUGGGAAUCUGCCUGAUGGAGGGGGAUACCUACUGAAAACGGUAGCUAAUACCGCAUACCACCAGUGGACCCCUGAUGGGAUGAGUUAGUUGGGGGGGUAACGGCUCACCAGGGCGCCGAUCCCUAGCGGGUCUGAGAGGAUGACCAGCCAAACUGGAACGGAGAAACGGUCCAGACUCCUACGGGAGGAAGCAGUGGGGAAUAUUGCACAAUGGGCGCAAGCCUGAUGCAGCAAUGCCGCGUGUAUGAAGAAGGCCUUAGGGUUGUAAAGUACUUUCAGCGGGGAGGCGUUACCCGCAGAAGAAGCACCGGCUAACUCCGUGCCAGCAGCCGCGGUAAUAC